AGGAGGAACAGCCCCAGUGGUGGGGCCAGCUCUGGAAACCUGGAUUCAGCUCCGGCAGGAACUCCGUCUGCAGGGCCUGGAGGCUCCGGGGCGGG
rfam:Canis lupus familiaris chromosome 8, whole genome shotgun sequence.